rnacentral:rRNA from 1 species
CUGCUGCCUCCCGUAGGAGUCUGGCCGUGUCUCAGUCCCAGUGUGGCUGGUCGUCCUCUCAGACCAGCUACUGAUCGUUGCUUUGGUGAGCCGUUACCUCACCAACAGGCUAAUCAGUCAUCGGCCGCUCCGCUCGCGAGAGGCCCUUGCGGGUCCCCCUCUUUCUUCCGUAGAACUCAUGCGGUAUUAGCCAACCUUUCGGCUGGUUGUCCCCCACGAGCGGACACGUUCCGAUGUAUUACUCACCCGUUG